GACGAACCGAGCGAAAGUUGUUCGGAAUAACUGGGCUUAAAGGGUGCGUAGGCGGGCUGUCAAGUCUGGGGUGAAAUCCCGCGGCUCAACCGUGGAACUGCCUCAGAUACUGAUGGCCUCGAGGGAGGUAGGGGCAUGCGGAACUGUAGGUGGAGCGGUGAAAUGCGUUGAUAUCUACAGGAACUCCGGUGGCGAAAGCGGCGUGCUGGACCUCUUCUGACGCUGAGGCAAGAAAGCUAGGGGAGCAAACGGG
rnacentral:rRNA from 1 species